rnacentral:piRNA from 1 species
UCCUUCAGUCGGUGCACAGAUGAGUGUCU